rnacentral:rRNA from 1 species
GAUGAACGCUGGCGGCGCGCCUAACACAUGCAAGUCGAACGAUUACAGCACCUUCGGGUGUGUUUUACUUGGCGAACGGCUGCGUAACACUUGUGCCACCUGCCCCUCCCAUUGGGAUAGCCUCGCGACACCGUAGAUAAUACCGUAUACUUUGGCACCUCCGCAUCGAAGACUCGAGCAUUCUCCGGCGGAGAGGUAUGGGCUCGCGGCCUGUUAGCUUGUUGGUGGUGUAAUGGCCUCCCAACGCAAGGAUGGUCAGCUGGGUUGCGAGACCGACCAGCCAGAGUGGGACAGAGAAAGGACCCAGGGUGCUAAGUGAGGAAGCAGUGGAGAAUCGUGGAAAAUGGGCGAAAGCCAGAUGGAGGGACGCCGCGUGCGGGAUGAAGGCCUGCGGGUUGUAAGCCGCUUUAAGCAGGAACGAGGCGAAAGUGGGGGUACCGGCAGAAGAAGCCCCGGCUAACUACGU